rnacentral:lncRNA from 1 species
GCCAAACAAUAUGUUCACGAAACUGCCGUUGUCAACGAGCAUGCGUUUUAAUCCGUUUCUAGCCACUACGGCCCUUACAACCAGAGCAUCGCAAUGGGGAUGGUGAACUCCCUCUGCGUCUUCCUGCGAGAAGGUGAUUGGGGCCAUCUUGUUUGCUGUUUUUGAUUCGUCGACAAUGUAGGUGAUCAUCGGGGGAUCCUUAGCUUCUCUUGUAUAAUUUCUCUGGGCAUUCCUGGUGUUGCCACCGACGUGGGGUCCCCCGAUGAUGGUAUCGAUUUCCCUGAUGACCUGGCUUCCAGCGAAUUGAGCUUGGUUCUCUUUCCUGGAUUGGCCUCGGUUUCUUGAUUCUCUUCUGCUAGGAGAUUGUUCCUGGUGACCCCUUCCUCCCCUCCUCGGGGAGGUGGAUCUGCGGGGGUGCUCAUUUCUGCUGGAAGUGAGGGGGUUGCUUCGAUUAGGGCGCCGGUUGGCAUUCCGACACUCACUGGUGUCAUGCCCAUAUAGUUGAUGGAAAGUACAAAAUCUUGCUCCUGGCAAGGGCCUGUUUGGCCUCUUCUUCUUCUUUUUGUUAUUGUCAGUUCUUCCGGAUGGUGCUGCCUCAGCGGGUGCGCUAUCAUAUGCCAACACCGGCACUGCGUUCAAUGUGGCGGAAGCUAGGGCCUGUCCGGAUGUGGGAGCUAUGGUAUGCCCUGCUUGGGUCCAUUGCUG